CAGGCUCUGGCCAUACUCCAAGACUCAGAAGAUCGAUCCUGGGUAUGACCAGAGCCCGACUGU
rnacentral:miRNA from 1 species